rnacentral:lncRNA from 1 species
AAAGGAAUAGGGCCUUCCAUUGCUCUUUUCUAGGUGGGCGGCCUAUGGGAAAGGAGAUUUACAACAGUGGAAAGGAGCAGUAAAAGUGCUGUGGUUAACGCAAAUCACAUGCUCCCAGAACAGCCUGUAAUUCCUGAGUCUAGCCUGAGUUUAUGGAAUCAAAAUUUCCAGGGUGCAAGACUUAAUCAUUUGCACUGGUUGUAAGCUCACCAGGUAACCUUGUAUAUCAGUCCAUUUUCAUACUACUAUAAAGAACUGCCCGCAAGUAAGUAAUUUAUGAAGGAAAGAGGUUUAAUGGACUUACAGUUCAACAUGGCUGGGAAGGCCUCAGGAAACAGUCACGGCAGAAGAGGAAACAAGACACCUUCUUCACAAGGAACAGGAAAGGGAAGUGCCCAGUGAAGGGGGAAGAGCCUCUUAUGCAAUCAUCAGAUCUCACGAGAACUCACUCACUAGCAACUUGCCAGGAAACCGCCUCCAUGAUUCAAUUAUUUCCACCUGGUCUCUCCCUUGACAUGUGGGAAUUAUGAGGAUUGCGAUUCAAGAUGAAAUAUUGGGUGGAGACGCAGCAAAACAUCACCUAGAGGCACAGGCUCAAAAACAGUCCACAGGAUACCAUCACAGAGCUGGAAUACAACAUGGGGCAUCUGAAAAGAAGAACCAAAAUAGAUGCCUGGUCUUCAACUAAAUUACCUGUUCAUCUUUUUCCAGGAAACCUUGGAACACCAAGGAAUCAGCAGUCAAACGAGCUCAGUCUCUGAGAACACAUGUGGGAAAAUUGAGUAUUUCAACUUUUAGGUAGACAGUUUCUACAAGCUAAAUAGUGGAACAAAAGGAGCCAAAUGAAGUUAUAAAACAUGUGCGUAUUUAGCCCCUGCUUUUUAUUAAACUAAGACUUUUUAUUCACAU